rnacentral:tRNA from 1 species
GAGGGUAUAGCUCAGUGGUAGAGUGCAUGCCUAGCAUGCAUGAGGUCCUGGGUUCAAUCCCCAGUAUCUCCA